AUUGAACGCUGGCGGCAGGCCUAACACAUGCAAGUCGAGCGAGCGGCGGACGGGUGAGUAAUGCCUAGGAAUCUGCCUGGUAGUGGGGGAUAACGUCCGGAAACGGGCGCUAAUACCGCAUACCAUCGGAUGUGCCCAGAUGGGAUUAGCUUGUAGGUGAGGUAACGGCUCACCUAGGCGACGAUCCCUAGCUGGUCUGAGAGGAUGACCAGCCACACUUGAAAUGAGACAAGGUCCAGACUCCUACGGGAGGCAGCAGUGGGGAAUAUUGCACAAUGGGCGCAAGCCUGAUGCAGCCAUGCCGCGUGUAUGAAUAAGGCCUUCGGGUUGUAAAGUACUUUCAGCGGGGAGGCGUUACCCGCAGAAGAAGCACCGGCUAACUCCGUGCCAGCAGCCGCGGUAAUUC
rnacentral:rRNA from 1 species